rnacentral:rRNA from 1 species
UGAGGAACAUGACCUUCGGCGGGGGAUAGCCGGCCCAACGGCCGGGUAAUACCGCGUACGACACGUGGGGACAUCCCUGAGUGGUGAAAGCAGCAAUGCGCCGAUGGAGUGCCUCGCGGCCUAUCAGCUAGUUGGUGAGGUCACGGCUCACCAAGGCGACGACGGGUAGCCGGCCUGAGAGGGUGACCGGCCACACUGGGACUGAGACACGGCCCAGACUCCUACGGGAGGNAGCG